rnacentral:tRNA from 1 species
GGGAUCGUAGCUCAGUUGGUUAGAGCGUCCGCCUGUCACGCGGAAGGUCACGAGUUCGAGUCUCGCCGGUCCCG